GUUCUGCCUGGUCGACGGGCGCCGGUUCGGUCGAGUCGAGCGCGAGUGCGUCACGGACCCGCUCGGCGUCGACCUUGUCGAUCGUGGAAUGC
rnacentral:tRNA from 1 species